GAUGAACGCUGGCGGCGUGCUUAAUACAUGCAAGUCGAGCGAACGGACGCUAAGCUUGUUUCUCUCACGUUAGCGGCGGACGGGUGUGUCACGCGUGGAUCCCCUCCCUAUCUUACUGGGAUAACUUCGGGACACCGGCGCUAAUACCGGAUAAUCUCUUGCACCGCAUUGUUCAAUAGUGAAAGUCGGUCUUGCUGUCACUUCUCGCUGGUUCCGCGCUGCAUUAGCUAGUUGUGAAGGUAACGGCUUACCAAGGCAACGAUGCGUAACCGACCGGAGAGGGGGAUCGGCCACACUGGAGCGGAGACACGGUCCAGACUCCUACGGUAGGCAGCAGUAGGGAAUCUGCCGCAGUAGGCGAAAGCCUGGCGGAGCAACGGCGCGUGAGUGAUGAAGGUCUUCGGAGCGUAAAACUGGGUUAUUAGUGAAGAACAGAUGUGUAAGUAACUGUGCACAUCGUGACGGUACCUGAUAAGAAAGCCACGGCUAACUACGUG
rnacentral:rRNA from 1 species